GUGCCAGCAGCCGCGGUAAUACGGGGGAGCAAGCGUUGUUCGGAUUUACUGGGCGUAAAGGGAGCGUAGGCGGCCUCUGCAAGUCAGUUGUGAAAUCUCCGGGCUUAACCCGGAAAGGUCAACUGAUACUGCGGGGCUAGAGCGCAGAAGGGGCAACUGGAAUUCUCGGUGUAGCGGUGAAAUGCGUAGAUAUCGAGAGGAACACCUGCGGCGAAGGCGGGUUGCUGGGCUGACACUGACGCUGAACUGCGAAAGCUAGGGGAGCGAACAGGAUUAGAUACCCUGGUAGUCC
rnacentral:rRNA from 1 species